rnacentral:tRNA from 4 species
AGCGGGGUAGGGUAGCCAGGAGUGCCCGCUGGGCUCAUAACCCGGAGAUCGGAGGUUCAAAUCCUCUCCCCGCUA